rnacentral:rRNA from 1 species
AGCAGCCGCCGCGGUAAUACGAAGGGUGCAAGCGUUAAUCGGAAUUACUGGGCGUAAGCGUGCGUAGGCGGUGAGUUAAGUCUGCUGUGAAAUCCCCGGGCUCAACCUGGGAAUGGCAGUGGAUACUGGCUCGCUAGAGUGUGUCAGAGGAUGGUGGAAUUCCCGGUGUAGCGGUGAAAUGCGUAGAGAUCGGGAGGAACAUCAGUGGCGAAGGCGGCCAUCUGGGACAACACUGACGCUGAGGCACGAAAGCGUGGGGAGCAAACAGGAUUAGAUACCCCAGUAGUCCCUGUCUCUUAUACC